CAUACUGCAAGUCGAGCGGACAGAAGGGAGCUUGCUCCCGGAUGUUAGCGGCGGACGGGUGAGUAACACGUGGGUAACCUGCCUGUAAGACUGGGAUAACUCCGGGAAACCGGAGCUAAUACCGGAUAGUUCCUUGAACCGCAUGGUUCAAGGAUGAAAGACGGUUUCGGCUGUCACUUACAGAUGGACCCGCGGCGCAUUAGCUAGUUGGUGGGGUAAUGGCUCACCAAGGCGACGAUGCGUAGCCGACCUGAGAGGGUGAUCGGCCACACUGGGACUGAGACACGGCCCAGACUCCUACGGGAGGCAGCAGUAGGGAAUCUUCCGCAAUGGACGAAAGUCUGACGGAGCAACGCCGCGUGAGUGAUGAAGGUUUUCGGAUCGUAAAGCUCUGUUGUUAGGGAAGAACAAGUGCGAGAGUAACUGCUCGCACCUUGACGGUACCUAACCAGAAAGCCACGGCUAACUACGUGCCAGCAGCCGCGGUAAUACGUAGGUGGCAAGCGUUGUCCGGAAUUAUUGGGCGUAAAGGGCUCGCAGGCGGUUUCUUAAGUCUGAUGUGAAAGCCCCCGGCUCAACCGGGGAGGGUCAUUGGAAACUGGGAAACUUGAGUGCAGAAGAGGAGAGUGGAAUUCCACGUGUAGCGGUGAAAUGCGUAGAGAUGUGGAGGAACACCAGUGGCGAAGGCGACUCUCUGGUCUGUAACUGACGCUGAGAGCGAAAGCGUGGGGAGCGAACAGGAUUAGAUACCCUGGUAGUCCACGCCGUAAACGAUGAGUGCUAAGUGUUAGGGGGUUUCCGCCCCUUAGUGCUGCAGCUAACGCAUUAAGCACUCCGCCUGGGGAGUACGGUCGCAAGACUGAAACUCAAAGGAAUUGACGGGGGCCCGCACAAGCGGUGGAGCAUGUGGUUUAUUUCGAAGCAACGCGAAGACUUACCCUUGACAUCCUCUGACAACCCUAGAGAUAGGGCUUUCCCUUCGGGGACAGAGUGA
rnacentral:rRNA from 1 species